rnacentral:rRNA from 1 species
UACGGGGGGGGCAAGCGUUGUUCGGAAUUACUGGGCGUAAAGGGCUCGUAGGUGGCCAACUAAGUCAGACGUGAAAUCCCUCGGCUUAACCGGGGAACUGCGUCUGAUACUGGAUGGCUUGAGUUCGGGAGAGGGAUGCGGAAUUCCAGGUGUAGCGGUGAAAUGCGUAGAUAUCUGGAGGAACACCGGUGGCGAAGGCGGCAUCCUGGACCAUUACUGACACUGAAAAGCGAAAGCCAGGGGAGCGAACGGG